GAUGAACGCUGGCGGCAUGCCUAACACAUGCAAGUCGAACGAAGGCUUCGGCCUUAUUGGCGCCCGGGUUCGUAACGCGUGGGAAUCUUCCCCUUUGUUCGGCAUAACAGUUAGAAAUGACUGCUAAUACCGGAUGAUGACGUAAGUCCAAAGAUUUAUCGCGGUGGGAUGAGCGCGCGUAGGAUUAGCUCGUUGGUGUGGUAAGAGCGCCUCACGGCGUCGAUGCUCAGCUGGUCAGAGAGGAUGGUUAGCCACACUGAGACUGGGACCCGGCCCAGACUCCUACGGAAUGGAGGAGUGGGGAAUAUUGGACAAUGGGGUAAAGCAUGAUGCAGCAAGGACGGGUGAGUGAUGUAGGCCGUAGGGAUGUAAAGUGUAUUUAACCGUGAUGAUAAUGACGGUACCGGGAGAAUAAGCUACGGCUAACUCCGUG
rnacentral:rRNA from 1 species